CCCUUAGAUGUUCUGGGCUGCACGCGUGCUACAAUGGCGCUUGCAACAAGAUUGCCAACCCGAAAGGGUGAGCGGAUCUUUGAAGUGGCGUCGUGAUCGGGACAGUUGAUUGCAAUUAUUCGACUCGAACGAGGAAUUCCUUGUAAUCGCGAUUCAUCAUAUCGCGCUGAAUACGUCCCUGCCCUUUGUACACACCGCCCGUCGCUCCUACCGAUUGAAUGUUCCGGUGAGCUCUUCGGACUGCGCGGUCUGCAGUUUCUGCGUUCCGUGCGGAAAGUUGCGCAAACCUUAACAUUUAGAGGAAGGAGAAGUCGUAACA
rnacentral:rRNA from 1 species